rnacentral:rRNA from 1 species
AUUGAACGCUGGCGGCAGGCCUAACACAUGCAAGUCGAGCGAGCGGCGGACGGGUGAGUAAUGUAUGGGGACUGCCCGAUAGAGGGGGAUAACUACUGGAAACGGUAGCUAAUACCGCAUACUAUCGGAUAACCCAUAUGGGAUUAGCUAGUAGGUGAGGUAAUGGCUCACCUAGGCGACGCUCCCUAGCUGGUCUGAGAGGAUGAUCAGCCAGACGGGGACUGAGACACGGCACAGACGCCUACGGAGGCAGCAGUGGGGAAUAGUGCACAAUGGGCGAAAGCCUGAUGCAGCGACGCCGCGUGGGGGAUGAAGGCUUUCGGGUUGUAAACCUCUUGCGCUAGCGAACGGGUAGGUGGAGAAGAAGCGACGGCUAACUACGUGCCAGCAGCCGCGGUAAUAC